GGCUGACUAGCUCAGUUGGUUAGAGCGUGGUGCUAAUACUUGUGCGUUACGCCAAGGUCGUCGGUUCGAUCCCGGCGUUGGCCA
rnacentral:tRNA from 1 species